rnacentral:rRNA from 1 species
UGGGGAAUAUUGGACAAUGGGCGCAAGCCUGAUCCAGCCAUGCCGCGUGAGUGAUGAAGGCCCUAGGGUUGUAAAGCUCUUUCACCGGUGAAGAUAAUGACGGUAACCGGAGAAGAAGCCCCGGCUAACUUCGUGCCAGCAGCCGCGGUAAUACGAAGGGGGCUAGCGUUGUUCGGAUUUACUGGGCGUAAAGCGCACGUAGGCGGACUAUUAAGUCAGGGGUGAAAUCCCGGGGCUCAACCCCGGAACUGCCUUUGAUACUGGUAGUCUUGAGUUCGAGAGAGGUGAGUGGAAUUCCGAGUGUAGAGGUGAAAUUCGUAGAUAUUCGGAGGAACACCAGUGGCGAAGGCGGCUCACUGGCUCGAUACUGACGCUGAGGUGCGAAAGCGUGGAGAGCAAACAGG